rnacentral:rRNA from 1 species
AGUUUGAUCAUGGCUCAGAUUGAACGCUGGCGGCAUGCCUUACACAUGCAAGUCGAACGGUAACAGGUCUUCGGAUGCUGACGAGUGGCGAACGGGUGAGUAAUACAUCGGAACGUGCCCGAUCGUGGGGGAUAACGGAGCGAAAGCUUUGCUAAUACCGCAUACGAUCUACGGAUGAAAGCAGGGGACCGCAAGGCCUUGCGCGGACGGAGCGGCCGAUGGCAGAUUAGGUAGUUGGUGGGAUAAAAGCUUACCAAGCCGACGAUCUGUAGCUGGUCUGAGAGGACGACCAGCCACACUGGGACUGAGACACGGCCCAGACUCCUACGGGAGGCAGCAGUGGGGAAUUUUGGACAAUGGGCGAAAGCCUGAUCCAGCCAUGCCGCGUGCAGGAUGAAGGCCUUCGGGUUGUAAACUGCUUUUGUACGGAACGAAAAGACUCUGGUUAAUACCUGGGGUCCAUGACGGUACCGUAAGAAUAAGCACCGGCUAACUACGUGCCAGCAGCCGCGGUAAUACGUAGGGUGCAAGCGUUAAUCGGAAUUACUGGGCGUAAAGCGUGCGCAGGCGGUUAUAUAAGACAGAUGUGAAAUCCCCGGGCUCAACCUGGGAACUGCAUUUGUGACUGUAUAGCUAGAGUACGGUAGAGGGGGGAUGGAAUUCCGCGUGUAGCAGUGAAAUGCGUAGAUAUGCGGAGGAACACCGAUGGCGAAGGCAAUCCCCUGGACCUGUACUGACGCUCAUGCACGAAAGCGUGGGGA